UGCUCGAGGAAUGGAGGCCACAGGGGUU
rnacentral:sRNA from 1 species